rnacentral:ncRNA from 2 species
UUUAAUUAGAAAGCAUCAUAUCGUAUAACUGCAGGGAUAAGGUCUGCAAGUCUCUACCGAGCUACCGUAAAUAGCUUGACUACGAUUUUACCAGUCUUUAUA